rnacentral:rRNA from 2 species
UGUACGGCCACAUUGGGACUGAGACACGGCCCAGACUCCUACGGGAGGCAGCAGUGGGGAAUUUUGCACAAUGGGGGAAACCCUGAUGCAGCGACGCCGCGUGAUUUAGAAGGCCUUCGGGUUGUAAAAAUCUUUUGUAUAGGAAGAAAAUGACAGUACUAUACGAAUAAGGUCCGGCUAAUUACGUGCCAGCAGCCGCGGUAAUACGUAAGGACCGAGCGUUGUCCGGAAUCAUUGGGCGUAAAGGGUACGUAGGCGGGUUUUUAAGUUAGAAGUCAAAGGCUAUAGCUCAACUAUAGUAAGCUUCUAAAACUGGAAACCUUGAGAGAUGGAAGGGAAAGUGGAAUUCCUAGUGUAGCGGUGGAAUGCGCAGAUAUUAGGAGGAAUACCGGUGGCGAAGGCGACUUUCUGGCCAUUUUCUGACGCUGAGGUACGAAAG